UCAUUGAUGUCAGAAUGAAUUUGAUCCUAUCUGUCCUCUAGAGGAGAGGACUGUAACCAGGGACACUCUCUGAAGUACUAUUUUGACGUACUGGGCUUUCGUUGGAGUAUUACCAUAUUCGGCUAACUUCUACUUCUACGCCACUACUUUUGUUUUUACAGACGGUUCAUUUUACAUAUCAAGACGACAUAUGAUAUGAAACAGUACUGAGGUAACAUUCAACACGCUAUUUUGUAAAUGAUUUAGAGUGGGCUGCUCACGGACAAACUACAUUAAAAUUCUUUGUAUUAUUUAAUAUUCUAUGAAGUCAGGUAUAAUAUACGAGUCACACGAGUAUACACAGCAGUCGAACACAAAGCUAACGUUUCCUGUGCUCUAAUCCAGGUUUAAAGUCCUUAAAAUAACACAAAUGUUCCCCAGUGAAAGUCUCUAUGUUCUCCUCCUUGCUGCUCUCAGUGCUCCUUCUCCUGCUGUGUCUCUGAGUUACAGGGGUCUCUAUGUUCUCCUCCUUGCUGCUCUCGGUGCUCCUUCUCCUGCUGUGUCUCUGAGUUACAGGGGUCUCUAUGUUCUCCUCCUUGCUGCUCUCAGUGCUCCUUCUCCUGCUGUCUCUCUGAGUUACAGGGGUCUCUAUGUUCUCCUCCUUGCUGCUCUCAGUGCUCCUUCCCCUGCUGUGUCUCUGAGUUACAGGGGUCUCUAUGUUCUCCUCCUUGCUGCUCUCAGUGCUCCUUCUCCUGCUGUGUCUCUGAGUUACAGGGGUCUCUAUGUUCUCCUCCUUGCUGCUCUCAGUGCUCCUUCUCCUGCUGUCUCUCUGAGUCUCGGGGGUCUCUAUGUUCUCCUCCUUGCUGCUCUCGGUGCUCCUUCUCCUGCUGUCUCUCUGAGUCUUGGGGGUCUCUAUGUUCUCCUUGCUGCUCUCAGUGCUCCUUCUCCUGCUGUCUCUCUGAGUUACAGGGGUCUCUAUGUUCUCCUCCCUGCUGCUCUCAGUGCUCCUUCUCCUGCUGUCUCUCUGAGUCUCGAGGGUCUCUAUGUUCUCCUCCUUGCUGCUUUCAGUGCUCCUUCUCCUGCUGUGUCUCUGAGUUACAGGGGUCUCUAUGUUCUCCUCCUUGCUGCUCUCGGUGCUCAUUCUCCUGCUGUCUCUCUGAGUUACAGGGGUCUCUAUGUUCUCCUCCUUGCUGCUCUCAGUGCUCCUUCUCCUGCUGUCUCUCUGAGUUACAGGGGUCUCUAUGUUCUCCUCCUUGCUGCUCUCGGUGCUCCUUCUCCUGCUGUCUCUCUGAGUUACAGGGCUCUCUAUGUUCUCCUCCUUGCUGCUCUCAGUGCUCCUUCUCCUGCUGUCUCUCUGAGUCUCGGGGGUCUCUGUGUUCUCCUCUUUGCUGCUCCUUCUCCUGCUGGACAUGCCGUUACAGACUUGGUGAGUAUUUGUGAAGCAGCUGGUACCGUGUAGUUUGAGCUGUACACAUAUUAAGUUCCCUUGAGUCCGGCUGAGGCAAAGACAACUGAGACCAGCACGGUCAGAAUGAUAUCCAACCUAAAACUAACUUCAUCGAAUAUCCAGCCUAAAACUAACUUCAUCGAAUAUCCAACCUAAAACUAACUUCAUCGAAUAUCCAACCUAAAACUUACUUCAUCGAAUAUCCAACCUAAAACUUACUUCAUCGAAUAUCCAGCCUAAAACUUACUUCAUCGAAUAUCCAGCCUAAAACCCAUAAUUUAACUGUGACUGAAUUGGAUGAAUGAUUGAACAGAUUGGAUUCUUAUUUUUAUUAAUUAAAAUGUUACUUUUACUUCUCUGCUGUUACAUAAAUAUUAAUGUAACUUUAUUCAACUUCAUUUUUUCUUAAUUUUGCUCUGAUUGUGUGUUUUAUUUAUUUGUAUUUGUUUUGUAUUUUAGUCAAAUGAGCACGUUUUUACUUUUCUAUUUUUAUACAAAUAUUUAAAUGUAUGUUUAUUUAUUUCCCCGCUGCGUAAAGAAGUGUAAGAGCGUGAGACAAGAAAAGGAGCAGGGGCAGCAGAGCGACCCAAGGCACACAAUGACUGUGUGUGUGUGUGUGUGUGUGUGUGUGUGUGUGUGUGUGUGUGUGUGUGUGUGUGUGUGUGUGUGUGUGUGACUCUGUUGUGGGGGAGGUUUGUUCAUAUCACAAACAUGAUUUAAUCCCACCAGUUUAAAGUCUGACGAUGUUCCUCUCCUCUCCGGUCCUACUUAUUAUUAUUAGUAGUAUUAAGAGAUGGAGCGGAGGCCCAGCAGAGGGGUGAGUAUUCAUUGCUAUUUUAAUACAAUAUUUUGUAUUGCUGUAUUAUUUAUCUCUAAUGUUUUUAUAUUGUAUUUGAUCUCAUUUAUAUGUUUUUACUGGAUCAUGUAAAUGCAGUCUGUCAUCAUUUAUCGAAAUAUAUUUAAAGGAAAAGUGUUUAUUAUCAUUUAUAUUUAAUUAAUAUUCAUGAAUACAUUUAUAGACAUUAACAUGAUAUUCAAACCUUUCUGAAGCCUAUAAACUAAGCUAAUUCAUGAUCAUAAUGAAUUCAAUAUAUAUUUGCUGUGCUGUUUGUUAAUUAUCUGGAUUUAUUUACAUAAAUGUGUAAAAUGUCUGAAAGAUUUAUUGACUUCCUGCUAAAUGAGAGAAUUAAUUGUAUUAUGAUUAUUUUUUCAGGAGAUUGUAUUGAACCAGAGCCCUGCAGGUAAAUGUCAGGUGUCUGACUGCUGUGAACCUCAGCAGCAGUACCUGGGUCUGACCAGCGGGGGGCGACACAACGCAACACACACCGCUGCUACUGUCAGCGUGAGUGUGAGGGUGUGUGUGUGGACAAAUGACCCCUUUAAGCCAAUACGCUCCCCUUCUAACACAAUCAGUGUUAAAUGUAAAACCCCGCACACUGACCCCAGGCUGUGUGUGUGUGUGUGUGAGAGAGAGAGAGAGAGGGGUACCAUACUGUGCUGUUACGCUGCCCUCUGGUCAGUGUGUUAUCCAUCCAACACUGUUAGUGUGAAGGAAGCAGCGCUGAGAGGAGAUACCAGCUGCCGUCUCUUCCUGUAACAUCAAGUACUAAUACCACAUGUGCAUGCUACGGAGUACUGCAGGGAUAUUAUACUCCCAGACAAAAAGGGUGCGUCCACCCUCUCGUGCCCCUCCUCCUCUACAGCGACAGACACCUCCCCCCCGCCCCACCGUACAG